UACGGAGGGUGCAAGCGUUAUCCGGAAUCAUUGGGUUUAAAGGGUCCGCAGGCGGAUUUAUAAGUCAGUGGUGAAAGCCUAUUGCUCAACAAUAGAACUGCCAUUGAUACUGUAAGUCUUGAAUUCGGUCGAAGUGGGCGGAAUAUGACAUGUAGCGGUGAAAUGCUUAGAUAUGUCAUAGAACACCGAUAGCGAAGGCAGCUCACUAGGCCUGGAUUGACGCUCAGGGACGAAAGCGUGGGGAGCAAACAGG
rnacentral:rRNA from 1 species